rnacentral:lncRNA from 1 species
CAGGCCAUGGCGACGAUCUGCGGGGAAGGCCGGCUCCGUCAGACCCUUCGGAAACCCCAACAAAGCGCGCCGAGCGCCGCCCGCGCCUCCCCCGGCCCCGCUCACCUCGAAACUGUGCUUGACGAAGGACUUGGAGUAGAAGAAGCGGUGGAACAGCACCUGCCCGGUCGCCAUCGCCACCUGUGAGGGCAGAGAGGAGGCGGCCGUCAGCGCGCGCGCCCGCCGCCAUUUUGUGUCAGGCGCCACCGCCCCCCGCCACAAUGGCGCCCCCCCGGCGCGGCCCGGCCCGGCGCGGCCCCACCUGCGGCAGGCGCAGCAGGAUGCCGGCCGCCUGGAUCAGCUCGCAGCCCAGGAUGCGCAGGUACAGUCUCCAAAGCUGAGCAGUGAACUGCAUUGGCAGAGGAUGGGCAAAGCUGGAAUGAAGGUAACACCAGUUCUCCAAUAAACCUCAUGGGAGAAGAGCUGUAGGGUAUCCAGAAACCUCCAUCCUGGUGGGUAAGCGAACCACCUCCGUCCUGAACAUCCCCUGAGGAUUUUACAGUGCAUUCCUCGUCUCUUGCUGGUGAAGCCACUGCUGGUGUUGAGCUUUAAUGCCUUUAAGUCUGUACCACAAAAACGUCAGUGAGCCUUUCCUACCAUCUGAUCGUGUGUUGGAGAGCAGCAGUUUGGUGCAUUUUCAGAUUGGGCAUCGUGCUUAACGUCCUUUUGAUUCCAGCCUGUCUUCCAGCGUGUUCAAAACUCACACUUGCUUCUCCCAUUGAGUUGCAUCAAGAUAAAACAAGUGGAAUUUAUCAGAUCUUACCAUCACCAGACAACGCCGUGGAGGCAGCAGACAUUCAGAUGCAGAUCAGAGAGAGCGUUUCAUCUGCAUGCACGUUAUUUGACUGAAGUGAACUGGUUUGAGAACUGGCAUUAAAAUACCAACACUGGCAGUUAAUGCUCCAGCCUUUGAACAGCAGCAGGCAGCUUCAGAGGAAGGGCAGGGCUGGUGGCAGCACCACCACUGCUGUUUGCUCAUACAGCUCUGACUGCUCUCUGUACUCACCAUCCUCCAAGUAAAGACACAGGAGCCAAAUUGGCUCCAAGAAGCAGUUUCUGUUCACCCUGGCUCUGACUCAGCCCCCUCCAAGGGCCAGCAGUGCCACCUACCAGCUCUUGGAGUGGGGAAAUGAGCAACAAGUCUUGGUCUUAUCUGCACCGAGUGAUCACACCAUGCUUUUAGAAAGCAAUAUGCUUCGCAUGUGUGCUGGCACACACAUCUGCCUCAGCUCCAUCCUGGGAACAUUGCUGUCACUGAUAGCAUUUCCAUCUGGAAGUAGGAGAACUGGGAUAACAUCAAAUGGCAGAAAGUGAUAUAGAGCUUCGGGGAGGUGCCCUGAGCUCACAGCACAGCCCUGUGCUUCUCGCAGAUUAACACCACCAACCAGUUUGUAGCUGCAGGCAUGCGAGCAAAAAGGCAAAGGGUCAAAGCUCCAGCCUGGAAUAAAUCACAGUGAGCCACUAACACGCAGUGUGAGCAGAAACGAGCAGCAGGGGAGAUGGAAAAGAACAGGCUGUGUCCUGACAGGCAGACCUCAGCAAGACAGAUUUAGCUCUCGUUCAGCCAGGAGGAUAUUUGUCACUGCAAGGACAGGCCUGCAUUAUUUUUAGUGGAUGCAUCAUGAGUCCGCAGCUUUAAAGGACAGCGAAAGAAAGAUCAGCUUGUCUGGUGAGGGCUUAUCCUGUUCUCUCAGAGCACACACAGCCCUGAGAAGCCGAGGAAUGUGUCAGUACAUACAAGACACCAUGUGCUGCUUCAAGUACCACGCCUGCUUUUAUUGCUGCUAGCUGUGACACUAGCAGUCAGCAAACCCUGACAUCACACGUGCUGUCCUUACCCUGGGCCAUGCGCACAGCAGCGUGCCUGCAGGCUGAGCCCGACGGAGCACUUCCCGAUAAAACACACUGGAGUUUGAAAAAGAUGGUCUUGCUUUCUACCGGUCCACGUGGCCCCAGCUGUGACACGGCACUCAGCCCUGCAGUCACCUUGCUGCACAGCAGGAGAGGUGAUUCCCUCCUCUUGCCGCCAGCACUGUGUGCUGCAGCCACGCAGCAGAGCGAGGCCGUGCUGCUGGGUGCUGUGAGCUCAGGGAGGCUCCGUGCCGUGCUGGGAGCCGCAGAACCACAUCCUGCACGGGGCCUGAGCAAUAUCUGAUAGACUCACUGCGCCAGCUUGCAAACGUCUCGGUGCGAUCAGUGAGCAGCUUUGCCAGGUGUUUCCCCUACAGCCAGAUACAGUCAGCGCUGAGACGCUUCAUCUCACGUAAAUCAAGCGUAUCUGUCACCACUUUGUCCAUUUGCGUAUCGGAAUUGAUGGCUCAGGAAGAGCUGCGUGCCACCAGAGCACCUCCGAGUGCUGUGCCCGUGUUAGGUCAGGAGGGCUGCUGUGCGCCCUCCUGACCUGCAGCUGCUUGCUUGCAGUGGGUGCUCCCCUUUCCGAAGGGGCAGUGCGCCACCUAGCGGGCUGGAGCCGCACUGCAGGGGGGGUGCGGUGCUGCGGAGCACGGCCAGCCGAGGGACGGGGAAUUAAAGUGCUAACAUAUGGGCAGGAUGCUUUGUUUUACUGAGAUAACCAUCAGACGUCACCUCUGAUUGAUCGCGAGGUGCUUACAAAUAAAAGGAGCUGCCAACAACAAGCUAUCUGUCCUUGCAGCGCUGAGAAAACUGACCCAAACGCAAGCAGGGUGCACAAUGGGAAUAAGGGAUAGCAAGCAAGGAGCUCCCUCCAGAACUAUUAUCCAUCAGCCCACAGUGCUCGCUAGGACAGACAGCAGUGCAGGACCCUGGGCCAGGAGGGUCUCCAUGCUCUUUCCCAGAGUUCAAGUGAAAAACACUGAAGAAUGGCUUACAGAAGACAAGCUUUAUUACUGACCUUUUACCCAGCAGGAGGCAGCACUUCGUUACAAAAAAAUAACCCAAACCUCACAAUCAAAACUGGGAACGUUUUGCUGAUUGCCUGUCUCAGCAGCUGUGCAAAGCCUAUCUGCUUUUAGCUUCAAAUGUAAACGUGUUAUCAUUAGGGCUAGAAAAAAGGCUUUUGGACUUCAUUCUGAAGCAGAACAGAACUCAUGCUGGCUCUAUGCUGCCUCAAAUGGCACCAGACUUUUGUUUCGGUGUUACAGUGUAAUCAGUGGAAGUGAUCAGCAUGGUCAAUUAACUUCUUUUAAGCCUCUUUGUGUAUAUUAUUAUGUAUAUAUAUGUAUAAAUGUAUACUUCAUGCAGCUGCUGGUCAGGGUGCCCCAAGCACAGCUCCCCAUUUCAGUACAGCCUCAGUGCCCCCAGCAGCCCCCCUCCACCCAUGGUGGGUUUUCAAAGAGCCCAGGCAGGCCAUGCAGUGGCUCUCCCCAGGUGACUGCCCAGCUUUCAACCAACCAUUCAACCAUUUCAACCAUUCCCAGCCUGGAUCUAACAGCCUUACGUUGAGGGGAGCUUUACCUGUUGGACAUUUCCAGCUUUUAAGCCCACAUUCAGGUUCAUCUUCCAGAAUACCACGUAAGAAAGAGAGCCAACAACCCCAACCUAUUGCCUGUGCUCCAGCUGCAGGUUUGUUAGCCCAGCCAGCUGCAGCUCGUUAGCCAGAUCCCUCCACUGGCUCAGGCACUCACUCCUUGUACCUACCCUGAGUCAGGCUGCUCUUGGAGAGCUGAGAAAGGCUAUUUUGCUCUGUCAUUAACUGGAAAUUUCAGGAAAGUUUUGGCAAAGUCCAUCUGGCCUCCCUGCAGUGCUUUUUUUUUUUUUUUUUUAACCAAGUCAUGAUUUGGGAUGCUGCUAUGAUUAAUGGGGCAUGCAUUGCAUUAGCUCAUGUGUCAGGGCAAAUAAGUGGUGUCCCCAGUGGGCCAUCCCUGGCCUGUCACAUCUCAGCCUGUCUGAGCAGCCUGUUAACAUUCAGCAGGCUGCUGAAACCCGCUGGUGAACAAGGGGCGUUGCUGGCACUUUGGGACUUCCCAUCAAGAUGUGUUUGUUAAUCCAAAUUGGCAGAGCCAAAACAACAGGCACACAGCUGGAUCUAUCCUAAAAUGAAUGGCUCCUGUGGGAAAUGCAUGCACCCGCAGUGCUGGCGUUCUGUGCUGCAGGCCCUUGCUGCACUGCACUGGUGUGUGGGAAUAACAUGAACAUCCAUGGCAGCUCUUCUUUCCUUCCCCUCUCCAUCCUGUAUUUCACAGAAUCACAGAUCCAAAGUUCCAGUUUGUGCCCGUUGCCCCUUGUCCUCUUGCUGGGCAGUGCUGAUAAGAGCCUGGCCCCAUCCACGUGGCUCCUGCUCUUUGUAUAUUAUAAAUACUGAGAAGACCCAUUUCUCAGCCUUCUCCUCCCCAGGCUGAACAGUGCCAGUGCUCUCAGCCUUUCCUCAUCAGGAGGUGCUCCAGGCUUCUCUGCAGCCCUCCAAUGGACUCUCUGCAGCAGUUCCCUGCCUGCCUUGAACUGGGGAGCUCAGAACUGGGCCCAGUGCCCCAGAUGUGGCCACACCAGAGCAGAGCAAAGGGGAGAAGAGCCUCCCUCACCUGCUGGCCACACUCUUUGUAAUGCACCCAGGAUACCAUUGGCCUUCUUGGCCACAAGGGCACAUAGCUGGCUCACUGUCAACCAUUGGUCAACCAGGACCCCCAGGUCCUUCUCCACAGAGCUCCUUACCAACAGCUCAGCCCCCAACCUGUACUGAGGUGUUGUUAUUCCUCCCCAGGUGUAGGACUCCACCCUUGCCCUUGUUGAAGCUCAUCAGAUUCCUCUCCACCAAACUCUCGCACAUGUCCAUGCCUUGCUGAAUGGCCAUACUGGCACAUCAGCCACCCCUGCCAUCCACAUAUCACCAGCAAACCUGCUGAGGGUGAACUCUAUCCCUUCAUCCAGGUCACUGAUGAAGAUACUGAACAAGGCUGGGCCCAGUACCACCCCCUGGGGAGCACUGCUACCUGCAGGCCGCCCAGACUCUGCUCCCUGGGCUCUCCAGCAGCCUGGUGCUGCACACAGGGCUGCAGGCACUGCAUGGCACUGUUCACUGCUCACUGCCAGCGCCCUUGCAGCCAUCCUGCCUGCUGCUGAUGCCUUCUGAAUAUUCACACCUGUCCCAGAGAGCCUCCCCACCAAGUGAACAGCGUGCAGAUGGCUGCCUCCACCAGCAGCUCUGCUGUCACCAGCCCAGUGUUCCCAAAGCAAAUCGAUGACCUCUGCCUGCACAUCAGUCCCAGCGUCCAGGUGCUCGCCUUCAUUAAUCACAGUGCAAUCUCCGAGGUGGGAAGGCAAGGGCUAAACUUUUCAAAGAAUAAAUGAAAAGAGGAGUGGAGUAGAGAAAGUGACAAAUACAGGUCAUGUUGUACAGAUAUUAGAGCUGUAGAUGUAAAGGGAGGGAGCAGUAAAAAUUCAGGAGGCCCUCUAUCUCCUUCAGGAUGAGAGAAAAUACUUGUUUUGUUCCUUUUUUAUCAGGGUUGUGCUCCGUAUGGGUAUUACAGCAGGUGGUUUGGGGCUCUGUGCUGCUCAUUGUGCCUGAAGGAGUCAGAAGAAUGGAUGAAAGAAAGUCCUGAGAGCCCUUUGAUGAACCUAGAGGUCAUUUCCAGCCCAGUCCGUUCUGGGAGUCUCUCAUUCUAUGAAUUGCAAUGCUUAGCUACAACUUUCAGGUAAAAGAGUUAGGCAACGUCCUGCUGUUAAACACAGCAUCCUCCCCAUCACAGCCCCUCCCAGCAGCCUUAUGGGCUUCAGAGCUCGGUACCAACACUGAUAUCUGACACAUGGCUUUUAUUUCUCCUUUCAUCAUAGUACGUACAACAGGCUGUGGAUAAAACCAUUGUG